UACGGAGGGGGCUAGCGUUGUUCGGAAUUACUGGGCGUAAAGCGCGCGUAGGCGGACCUGCAAGUCGGGGGUGAAAGCCCGAGGCUCAACCUCGGAACUGCCUUCGAUACUGCGGGUCUCGAGUCCGGGAGAGGUGAGUGGAAUUCCUAGUGUAGAGGUGAAAUUCGUAGAUAUUAGGAAGAACACCAGUGGCGAAGGCGGCCCACUGGCCCGGUACUGACGCUGAGGCGCGAAAGCGUGGGGAGCAAACAGG
rnacentral:rRNA from 1 species